rnacentral:tRNA from 1 species
AUUUGAUUAGUUUAAGGAAAAUAUUGAUUUGUGGAAUCAAAGAUGUGUGAAUACAUCAAAUA